CAGCCGCCACGGGAAUACAGAGGGUGCAAGCGUUAAUCGGAAUUACUGGGCGUAAAGCGCGCGUAGGUGGUUUGUUAAGUUGAAUGUGAAAUCCCCGGGCUCAACCUGGGAACUGCAUCCAAAACUGGCAAGCUAGAGUAGGGCAGAGGGUGGUGGAAUUUCCUGUGUAGCGGUGAAAUGCGUAGAUAUAGGAAGGAACACCAGUGGCGAAGGCGACCACCUGGGCUCAUACUGACACUGAGGUGCGAAAGCGUGGGGAGCAAACAGGAUUAGAUACCCCAGUAGUCCCUGUCUCUUAUAC
rnacentral:rRNA from 1 species